UGGGGAAUCUUGCACAAUGGGGGAAACCCUGAUGCAGCGACGCCGCGUGAGCGAUGAAGCCCCUCGGGGUGUAAAGCUCUUUCGGCAGGGAAGAUUAUGACGGUACCUGCAAAAGCAGCUGCGGCUAACUACGUGCCAGCAGCCGCGGUAAUACGUAGGCAGCAAGCGUUGUUCGGAGUUACUGGGCGUAAAGGGUGCGUAGGCGGCUUUUUAAGUUUGGUGUGAAAUCUCCCGGCUCAACUGGGAGGGUGCGCCGAAUACUGAGAGGCUAGAGUGUGGGAGAGGAAAGUGGAAUUCCUGGUGUAGCGGUGAAAUGCGUAGAUAUCAGGAGGAACACCGGUGGUGUAAACGGCUUUCUGGACCAUAACUGACGCUGAGGCACGAAAGCGUGGGUAGCAAACAGG
rnacentral:rRNA from 1 species